UACGUAGGGGGCUAGCGUUGUCCGGAAUCAUUGGGCGUAAAGCGCGUGUAGGCGGCUCGGUAAGUCCGCUGUGAAAGUCGGGGGCUCAACCCUCGGAUGCCGGUGGAUACUGUCGGGCUAGAGUACGGAAGAGGCGAGUGGAAUUCCUGGUGUAGCGGUGAAAUGCGCAGAUAUCAGGAGGAACACCAAUUGCGAAGGCAGCUCGCUGGGACGUUACUGACGCUGAGACGCGAAAGCGUGGGUAGCAAACAGG
rnacentral:rRNA from 1 species